rnacentral:rRNA from 1 species
AGGGAAUCUUCGGCAAUGGACGGAAGUCUGACCGAGCAACGCCGCGUGAGUGAAGAAGGUUUUCGGAUCGUAAAACUCUGUUGUUAGAGAAGAACAAGGAUGAGAAGAGAAUGUUCAUCCCUUGACGGUAUCUAACCAGAAAGCCACGGCUAACUACGUGCCAGCAGCCGCGGUAAUACGUAGGUGGCAAGCGUUGUCCGGAUUUAUUGGGCGUAAAGCGAGCGCAGGCGGUUCUUUAAGUCUGAUGUGAAAGCCCCCGGCUCAACCGGGGAGGGUCAUUGGAAACUGGGGAACUUGAGUGCAGAAGAGGAGAGUGGAAUUCCAUGUGUAGCGGUGAAAUGCGUAGAUAUAUGGAGGAACACCAGUGGCGAGGGCGGCUCUCUGGUCUGUAACUGACGCUGAGGCUCGAAAGCGUGGGGAGCAAACAGGAUUAGAUACCCUGGU